ACCUGCUGUAUGCAAGAUAGACCUCAUCUAAGGACUUGUGGCAAGAUUUCAGCCAAAAGCACCUCAAGUCCCAGUUAUCUGCAGAGAGAGCAGAGGCUUUGCUUCAAGGCACAAGUACAAGGCAUGAGCCUGAGCAGAUCUUCGAUUUAGAUAUUUCUGGACAAAACCUACUGCAAAUAAAAUCCAUCGCAUCCCUUGCCCUACCA
rnacentral:lncRNA from 1 species